ACAGGUUGUAUGGUUUAUUUAGAUUGUUUUGUGUUUUAUAAUAGUUUGAAAAAUAAUUUAGGUAUUCAAGUAAUUUUUAGUGAAAUAAUAAAUUAAAGUUAUAGCUUAUAAGUACUGCAAAGGAAAACGUAAUAAUAAUUGGUAAUUUGAAUAGUAUGUUUUAACAACUGUACCUUGUGUAUUAGGGGAAAUCUAUAUAAAUUAAUUAAUAUUAAAAAUCUCGAAAUAAAAACAGCUAAUUAUAUAUAAUUGUUUUUGUAGAAUAAAAAUGUUAAAUAUAAAAUUAAAGGUGAGAUGUCAGUCGAGUUUUAUUAUAUCUAGUUUUUUUAGAAAUAAAUUUAAUUUAGAUCUCAAAACAUCUAUAUUUGAGAUUUAAGUAUAGGAGGGAAUAGCUUCUUAUAUAAUAAGAGUUGAAAAGUUAAAAUUAUGUAAAAUUUUUGAGUUAAGCUUAAAAGUAGCUAUACUAGUAAAGUGUUUUAACUAAGUAUAAUAAUUUAAAGCAUUUAUGUAAACUUUUAUGAACUAUAAAAAAAUCAAUUAGAACAAAUCUUAAUAAAAUAUAAUGAUUUUAUUAGUAUAAGUUAUUAUUUAACAAAAAAGUAAAAUAAUUAUAAANNNNNNNNNNNNNNNNNNNNNNNNNNNNNNNNNNNNNNNNNNNNNNNNNNCAAAAACAUGUCUGUUUGUAGAUAUAAAAAGUUUGGCCUGCCCACUGAAAUUUUUAAAGGGCCGCGGUAUCUUGACCGUGCAAAGGUAGCAUAAUCGUUAGUUUUUUAAUUGAAAUCUUGUAUGAAUGGUCGGACAAAAGAAAAUCUGUCUCUAUAUUUAGUAGUUGAAAUUAACCUUUAAGUGAAAAGGCUUAAAUAAAUCAAAGGGACGAUAAGACCCUAUAAAACUUUAUGCGAAACUCUCACCUGGUUGAUUUAUAAUAUGUAUAAAAAUCUAGUGGGGUAUUAGUAUUAUAUUGGGGUGAUAAAAAUAAAAUGUUUAUUAACUGUUUGAAGUUAAAGACAAAAAUAGAUGAUUAAAUUUUUAAAUGAUCCUAAUUAGAGAUUAAAAGUUUAAGUUACUUUAGGGAUAACAGCGUUAUUCUUUUUGAGAGUUCCUAUCGAAAAAAGAGUUUGCGACCUCGAUGUUGAAUUAAAACAUCUAUAUAAUUGUAGAAGUUAUAUUAGAAGG
rnacentral:rRNA from 1 species